GGAGGAACCAGAGGCACAUUUGCAGACCUGAAGGGAAGCAUUGUGGCUGGAGUAUCCCGAGGAGCUGGAGAGGGAACGCAGAAAAGCCUGUAUGGGAGCAGCGGUGACUGCGGGACCACUGGCUAGGAGGCUACUGCGACAGUGCAGGAGAGAGCUGCUGAGGGCUUAGACCCAGGCUGUGAGAAGUGGGCUGAUUCUGGAUUCAUCUAGAAGACAGAGAACAAAGGAUUUCCUAAUGGAAUGGAAUGGAUGGUGAGAUGUACAUCUGAAGUAAAGACUCCUUUGGGAUUUGGGGCUUGACAAACUUGAAAAAAACAAACACCCCAGCACCCCUUCUGGACAGACACUGCCAUGCAGAAGGUCAACUUGGAAGUGAAUGGUUCCUUUGAACCCCUUAGAAACAGGAACCUCACUCAACAGGAUGCAUCCCUGAGCCAGGGCUUCUGGCUUAGCAAGAAGAGGUCCGGUGUUCCCGUCAGAUUGGAAGUUACUGUGCAGGCACUCCUGUGCCCCUGCACAAUCUGGCUGGAGUAGAUGACGAAAACUCAAAGUCUCUGGGCAUUUUGCGGAAAAAGGAAGAAGCAACCUUCCAGAAGCAGCGACUAAGAAUAAGAACACUAACUCCCUUCCCCCAACUCAACUGUAUGUGAGUGUGAAAGGAAAGGAAUCAUUUUCUGUGGAAUCAGUAUCCUCAGGGAGUAUCCACGCUCUAGUAGAAGAAGGUAAAGAUACUUUCACAGACCCAUCGUGAUGAGCAUAUAGGGAUUUUACCCGUGAAAAGUAAUGUGUCUCAUAGGCACAAUGGAGGGGUCUGAGGAUGAGACUGAAUCUUGGGCUUCUUGUGAAGAUUAAAAUAAUUUUGGAUGAAGAGAAUAAUAGGAUUAAUCCUGAUUGCAUCUUGAGAUGAGAUGAAUAAUCAAUUCUAAUUAUUACCUCCUUUCAUCAAGAAUUCUGGGACUUCCUUGGUGGUGCAGUGGUUAAGAAUCCGCCUGCCAAUGCAGGGGACACGGGUUUGAGCCCUGGUCUGGGAAGAUCCCACAUGCCACGGAGCAACUAAGCCUAUGCGCCACAAAUACUGAGCCUGCGCUCUAGAACCUGUGAGCCACAACUACUGAGCCCACGUGCUGCAACUACUGAAGCCCGCGUGCCGAGAGCCUGUGCUCUGCAACAAGAGAAGCUACCGCAAAGAGAAGCCCGCGCACCGCAACGAAGAGUAGCCCCCGCUCAUUGCAACUAGAGAAAGCCUGCAUGCAGCAACAAAGACCCAAUGCAGCCAAAAAUAAAUAAAUAAAUUUAAAAGAAAAAGAAUUCUGUGGCAUUCUUGAUGAAGUGGAAAUGCCGGUGGAGUGAAAAUGUGAUUGACCCAAAUGGGCUACCUUUGCCCACUUUUGCCUGAUUUGGCUGAGUUUAGUGUGGAAGCUACAAGAGGGACUUACACAGAGAAUUAAGGGUACACCAGAAUAUGAAUCACUACUACCCUUAAAAAAAAGCUCAUUUAUUCUGAAUAAAUUGAUAUAGAAUUUGUCUUAUUUUGAUCUGAGCUGAACGAGAGCUUACUAUUUUAUGCUAUUUGAAGAUAAGGUUUCCUCAGCAAAUUAUUAAUACAAACGAUAUUGCAGAUGUUUAACUUACUUAGAAGUACUCUUUCCAUGACAUUUACACAUAAAUGUGUUAAACUGAUACUGUUAAUUACAAAUGAGUCAUUUAAUGUGUUAUAAAUAUAUAUAUGAGUGCAUUUUCACACAGUAAAACCCUACUUACGAUAAAUACUCCCCCAAAGUAUGCCUCUGUAAAUAUAAAAAUGCAUGCUUAUUCUCGCUGGAAGUGUUUUCAAUUUUGUCUCAACAACAGAAAUCUUAAUUUUCUGCCCAGUUUUACAAUCGAAGAUAGCUAGUAGCAUCUAGUCCUGCUUCCUUUCUUACUUAAUUCUAAUGAACCCCUAAAUCUUUAAUUUAGUAAUGGCCUAUUAACCUAUAAGUUACCUCCAGACCUCUUCAAAGAAGUACACAGCUUGGAGUAGUAUCAAAAAACCCUACAAUGGAAAUUAGCCCUGAUUCUGCUAUUAACUAACUAUCAAACCUCCACGAAAUCACUUUACUUCAUAAAACAUCAGUUACUUACAGAGAUUGAACCAGACGAACUUUUGAAGUUCCUGUCAACUCUGAAGUCCAUGACCAUUAUUAAGUCUUAAAUUAACAAUGACCCAACUUUUCAAAUGUGGUGUGUAGAGAAAGACUCCCUAAAUUUAAUAACUGAAAUUCAUAAGCAUCUAUUUAUUUAUUUAACGUCAUGUCAAUAAUGCUUACUAAAAAGUGGAUGAUACAGAAAGACCAUACCAUAUUCUAUAUCAAACAGAACUUUUAAAAUAACAUUUUUCUAGAGAUUGUCAUACUAAGUGAAGUAAGUUAGAGAAAGACAAAUAUCAUAGGGUAUCAUUUAUAUGUGGAAUCUAAAAUAAUGAGACAAAUGAACUUAUUUACAAAACAGAAAUAGACUCAUAGACAUAGAAAACAAACUUAAGGCUACCAAAAUGGAAAGGGGGGGAGGAAUAAACUAGGAAUUUGGGAUUAACAGAUACAAACUACCAUGUAUAAAACAGAUAAACAACAAGGACCUACUGUAUACCACAGGGAACUAUAUUCCACAUCUUGUAAUAACCUAUAAUGGAAAAGAAUCUGAAAAAUUAUAUAUAACUGAAUCACUUUGCUGUAUACCUAAAAAACUGUAAAUCAACUAUAUUUCCAUAAAAAAAAUCUUUCUAAUUGAAAAAUAAAGGCAUAUUGGCUAUUGAAAAGUUGCAAAAUAAAACUAAAGACAACAAAAAUUUCACUACCAAUCCCCAUAAUCAUUAUUUUUUAUAUGCAUGCUUCUUGUCUCCUUUCUAUGAGUACAUAUUAAUAAACUAUUAUGCAAAUGAACAUACAGAUUUAUAAAUUAUUUUAUUUCCCUCAUAAUAGUGUCAUUAAAAGUAUGUAUUUCUAAAAGAUAAUUUUAACCUUUACCUCUAGUCAUGAUGGAGCAACUGUUACCAGAUUUGCCUGAUAGGAAAUGAUUGGAAAACUGGACUAAUUCUAAAAAAUUAAUAAACAGAAACCUCAAUUAAAUAGAGUUGGGAGACCAGAGGGGAAGCUCUCACACUCUGUGACAAGAGCAGAGCCUAACAGGAAGAAGAAAGACUCCUUACUUGCAAAAACUCAGCCAAUGAAAAUCCAUGGACUACUUGUUUACUGUAGCCCUCCCGACUUUCUUCUUCUCUCUACAAAAUCAAUCUCCUUAACCUUGUCAUGUGGGGGCUUGCAGGUGGCUCACCAUGUUUGCAGAUCCCAAAUUGCAAUUCUCUGCUGAUCUCGAAUAAAGCCAUCUUUGCUGGAAAAAUAUCUGACAGUCUAAUUGUUUCAGGUCAACAAUAUGAAACAAUCGUUUACAGGCAUUGAACAACAAGCAGCCCAAGUGUGUGAUUACUAAGAUGGGAGGAAAAACAAGCCCUAAUAUUACCCUGGCUUUCUGGCUGGAGGCACUUUCCAGUGCAAUGCAAGGAAGCAUGAUCUAAGCAGAGCACGUUGCAUAUAGCAGAGUAAUGAGCGUGUGGGGAGGCCAACAUGGCUGGCAUUUAAAAGGCAGAGCACCAGAAAGGAAAGCAGUACAUAAAAAGGAAAUUCCAAAAUCACAUGGAGGAAACUCUUGAGUCUGUGGCCAAAUACUAAAUAGAGGUUUUAAAAAGGUAAACCUAAUAGGGCUAAACUAUCUUUACAGACUACUAUAGAACCUUCCUAAUAGAGCCUAAAAAUAAGCCUCAAAAAAUUUGGGUGACCCACAAUAAGUUACCUGCCUACCAAACAAACAAAACCUAUCUAGAUCUUUAAAAGAGAAUAACAUACAGAUCUCCAACAAUAUAACAUUCAUAAUGUCAACCAUCUAAUCCAAAACUGCUAGACAUGUGAGAAAAAUCAGUCACUAGAAACAGACCCAAGUAUAAUGAAAGGAAUGUUUAUAUAUUUCGAGGAUUUAAAAGAAAUUUAACAUAAUUAGGAGGAAAAUGAAAGAUUUAAAAUAACCAAAUGAAACUUUUAGAGCUGAAAAAAAAAAUAAUCUGAAGUAAAAAAUAUUCUGGAUGGGAUUACUAGGAAAUUAGACAUUUCAAAAGAAAAGAUCAGUUAACUUAAAGACUUUAUAAUAGAAAUUAUCCAAACUGAAGUGUGGUGGGGAAAAAACUGGAAAAUAUAACUAAUAGAGUGUUGGUAGGCUCUGGAACAAUAUCAAGUGUUCUAACAUAUGUUGCUUCCCAUAUCAGGAAUAAAAGAUAGGACAUCACUACAGAUACUAUGGACAUGUAAAGAUAAGAGAUUUUAUGACCAAAUUUAUGCCAAUAAAUUUGACAACUUAGAUAAAAUAAAUGGAUUUCUUGAAGGAUACAAAUUACCCAAACUGGAAGAUUAAAAAUUCUGACUAGCUUCAUACCUAAGAAAAAAAAUUGAAUUCAUAAUAUAAACCCUCUCAAAAAUAACUUCUGGUCCAGGUUGGAAUCACUGGUGAAUUUAUCAAACAUUUAAGUAAUAAAUUAUACAAAUUUUUCUGCAACCCUUUCAGUGAGUAGAGGAGAAGGAAACAUUUCUCAACCCUAUAUAUCCCAGUAUUAAAACCAGAGAAAUAUAUUAAAAGAAAAGAAAAUUAGAGGUCAACAUCCUUCCUGAACACAGUUGCAUAAAUCUUUAAUAAAAUAUUAGCAAUACAAUUUAUGGUAUCAAGACCAGAUGGAAUUUAUCCCAUUAAUGCAAUAUUAACAUUAAAAAAAAUAGGGCUUCCCUGGUGGCGCAGUGGUUGAGGGUCCACCUGCCAAUGCAGGGGACGUGGGUUCGUGCCCCGGUCCGGGAAGAUCCCACAUGCCAUGGAGCAGCUGGGCUCGUGAGCCAUGGCCACUGAGCCUGCGCAUCCGGAGCCUGUGCUCCGCAACGGGAGAGGCCACAACAGUGAGAGGCCUGCGUACCACCAAAAAAAAAAAAAAAAAUCAUCAAUAAUUAAUGUAUUUUAUCACCUUAUCAGAAUAAAGGCAAAAUAUAAAUGAAUAAAUAAAAACAAACAAAAAUUAAUGUAAUUCUUUACAUUUAACAGACUGAACAGGAAACAACCAUCUCAAUGGAUAUAGGGGCAUUUGACAAAAUUUAACAUCCAUUUAAGAUAAUAUCUCUUGGUAAACUAGAUAAAGAAAGGAAUUACAUCAACCUCAUAAGGAGUGUCUAUAAAAAUCAAGAGACAACCCAUAUUUAAAGAUGAAACUCUAAUAUUAAGAAAAAUAAGAAUGCUGUCCCUCACAACUGCUAUUUAACAUUGCACUGGAUGCCCUUGAACAGUAAGACAAGAAAAAGAAAAAGCUUUCAGACUGGAAAGAAAGUAAUAUAACUCUCAUUAUUUAUAUAUAGCAUGAUCAUGUAUGUAGAAAAUCUGCAUAAGGGCUAUUGUAACUAAUUGUAACUAAUAGCUGAAUUUUGCAAGGUCACAGCAUAUAUGGUCAAUAAACAAAAGCCAGUUUUUCUGUAUCCUAUCAACAAAUAAAAAAUUAAAUGCAUACAAUAAUUCCAUGUACAAUAGAGUCAAAAACAUACAAUUCUCAAUGAUAAAUUAAGAAAGAAGUAUAAGAACUCUACACUGAAAACUAUAAAACACUGCUGAGAGGAGUUAAAGAAAUCCUAAAGAAGUGGCAAGCUGUAUCAUGGUUAGACAUUGGGAGAUUAUAUUAUUAAGGUACAGUUUCUCCAAAUUCAUCCUUAGAUUCAAUAUAAUUUCAGGGUUUUUUUGGUUUUUGUUUUUGUAGAAUCAACUGGAAGGACCUCAAAUAGCUUAAACAAUUUUUAAAGAGAAAAGGAACAUAUUUGGAGGAUUUACACUUCUAAUUUUAUGAUUUAUAAUAAAGUUACAGUAAUCAAAACAGUAUGGUAUUGGUGUAAGAUAAAGUAUAGCUCAAUGGAUCAGAGUAGAGAGUACCAAAAUAAAUUGAUACUUAUAUUGAUUUUAACAAAGUUGCCAAGGUAAUUUAAUGGAGAAAAGAAUAGGUCUUUUCAACAAAUUAAGCUGGAACAACUACUAAUUCACAUGAGAAAAAAUAUUUGGCCCUUACCUCAUGCCUUCACAAAACUAACUAGAAUAGACCACAGACCUCAAUGUGAAAGCUGAAACCAUAAAACUUUUAAAAAGAAACAUAGGAUAAAAUCUUUAUAAUUUUGGAGUAGGCACAGAUUUCUUGGGACACAAAAUGAUUACUAUAAAAUUAAAAAAAUGAUAAAUUGGUCAUCAUCACAAUGAAAAACUUUUCCUUUUAGAAAGACACUGUUAAGACAAGGAUAAUACAAAUCAUAGACCAGAAGAAAACAUUUAUAGUAGAUAUAGCUCAAAAAGGACUUAAAUUGAGACUAUAGAGAGAACUCUUACAACUCAAUAAUAAGAAAACAAACAACCAAAUUAAUAAAAUUUAUCAAAUGAGAUACUACUACAUAUAUAAUGUUAUUUAAAGAACUAUCCUUUGUAUGUAGAGUGACCAGACACAAUUUCCCUGAGAUCUUACAAGUUACUAUUUGUUGCUGUUUUUUUAAAUAUCCUGGUUUUAAUAAAUAAUAUGACAAUCCUAAUUAUAACAUUUUUAAAACUUUUUUAGAACAUGAUGGUCUAUUGUUUCUCUUUAAAAUAGUUCAGUAUAUACAGUAUGUAUAGAUGUAUAAGUUUUCUUUAAUCUGUACCCUAGCUGAGGAUCUGUAUAAGUUGUUAGCAUAUAAAGUACCCUAAUUCAGAAUCGACACAACAAGGUGCAUAGUUUGCUCUUGGCAAUCAGGAAUCCACAACACAGAGGAGUCUAGGGCAACUGUUUUAAAUAUGAAUGACUGAAUGAGAAGCCUUGUUAAUUAAAGGAUAUUAGAAAUAAUUGGUCAACUGAGAAGUAUUCAAGACAUGUCAUUGCCUGGGAAGAUUGUGUGGGUAUCUACAUCUUUGCAUGAAAAAAAUAUAAGAAUAGCAAGUUCAGCAACCUAGUACCUUUAGAGAAAACUGGUUUUGGCUCCUUCCACCGAAGAGAGGAUGAACAAGAAAAGGUCCACUGGUCCUGCCAGAAGCAUCAUGUUGCUUCCACCUUGGAGUAACCUUUGUUGCCAAGUGCUUAUUGGAAUUCUUGAAAAGCCAGAAAGCAGAGGGCUUUGCCCAUCUCCUGGAACUGGCCUUAUGAUUGUUUGGGGGGCUGUUUACUAAUAAAUGUUUGCAUUCAUAGCAAGUUUAUCCUUAGACUUUGGAUUUAUAACAUCAUAACAGGUGGUAAGGGUGUGGGCAAGGGGGCACAUGCUCCCUGCUUGCUUCCAAUUAUCACAGGCUACCAACAUUUAUCAAAGGACCUGCAACUGUGAAAGGUCAAAUUAGCUUCGGGUUUUCAACAUGAGAUUUUUUCAAAUUCUAUCAAAUUCUUGAAAAGGAAUAGAUAUGUGUAUAUGUAUAACUGAAUCACUUUGCUAUACACCUGAAACUAAUACAACAUUGUUAAUCAACUAUACUCCAAUACAAACUAAAAAUUUUUUUAAAAAUCUAAA